UCCGUAGGCGGGCGAUUAAGUCAGAGGUGAAAUCCCACAGCUCAACUGUGGAACUGCCUUUGAUACUGGUUGUCUUGAGUUACAGUGAAGUAGAUAGAAUAUGUAGUGUAGCGGUGAAAUGCAUAGAUAUUACAUAGAAUACCGAUUGCGAAGGCAGUCUACUAACUGUUAACUGACGCUAAGGGACGAAAGCGUGGGGAGCGAACAGGAUUAGAUACCCUGGUAGUCC
rnacentral:rRNA from 1 species